UGGGGAAUUUUGGACAAUGGGCGAAAGCCUGAUCCAGCAAUGCCGCGUGUGUGAAGAAGGCCUUCGGGUUGUAAAGCACUUUUGUCCGGAAAGAAAUCCUUGGCUCUAAUACAGUCGGGGGAUGACGGUACCGGAAGAAUAAGCACCGGCUAACUACGUGCCAGCAGCCGCGGUAAUACGUAGGGUGCAAGCGUUAAUCGGAAUUACUGGGCGUAAAGCGUGCGCAGGCGGUUUGCUAAGACCGAUGUGAAAUCCCCGGGCUCAACCUGGGAACUGCAUUCGUGACUGCAAGGCUAGAGUAUGGCAGAGGGGGGUAGAAUUCCACGUGUAGCAGUGAAAUGCGUAGAGAUGUGGAGGAAUACCGAUGGCGAAGGCAGCCCCCUGGGCCAAUACUGACGCUCAUGCACGAAAGCGUGGGGAGCAAACAGGAUUAGAUACCCUGGUAGUCCACGCCCUAAACGAUGUCAACUAGUUGUUGGGGAUUCAUUUCCUUAGUAACGUAGCUAACGCGUGAAGUUGACCGCCUGGGGAGUACGGUCGCAAGAUUAAAACUCAAAUGAAUUG
rnacentral:rRNA from 1 species